CACCCCCUGCCGGUUAGCACACAGCUGGGUUGUCCGCAUCACCUUCUUCCUCCAUCUCCCUGAAUUCCGCGAGUCCACGAACACUCGGUCAAUCUAUCCUACAGCUCAAAAAAAGGGCUCCAGGACUCUGAUCUCACCUUCAACCCGUCUGAUCCCAAUCAGACAGAAAACCAGCAGGGUCUGCCCAAAGAAGUAUAAUCGAAGAAAACCUCACAGCACGAUCAACCCAAAAAAUCGCAGCAAGGAACAAGUUUUCCUCUCCCUAAGCAGCAGUGGUGGCAACAAGGUCUGUAUGUCUUCCACGUGAAUUGGAGCUGUGCUUCUCGUAGGGAACUCGAGCUUCCUCAAUCCAGAACUACAUCAAGAUUUCUACACUGCCGGCAGACUUUAUGUAGGCAAAAAAAAGGGCAACGGUUUUCCUGCAAUACAAUAGAUGUCCCCUCACUUUACUUUAAAUAAGUACUGCGGAUUACCAGUGUGGUUAGAUUCAUGCCUUUAAUAGUCAGUCUACACACUUUUGACAUUUAUAUCUAAUGUUCUCCCCAAGCUAAUUCGGUCAAGAAACAAGUUUGUGUUUAAUGCGCUUGCUUCAUAUAUUUUUUGUUUAGAUCGUUUCACUUGUUUUUAUUACUUUUGCAAACCAUGGUUGUAUUUUAUUUAAUAAUUGCAGUACCUGUUUUAUAUGUUGUUAUUUUGCUUCAGUUCAGCCCAGUUUCCACUGCGUGGGGCCAAAUCUUUGACAUAGUAAAUAUUUUCUUGUUGUUUUUUGACCACAUAAUGCAUCUACUCUCAAAGCUUGGUAACAAUCACUGCUAACUAACUUUCUUUACCUCACAUGUAUUUACCUUUAAUUGCUGUAAGCCCUUCAUGCAAAAAUAAAAAUGCAAGCAACAAUAUUAGAGAAAAGUAGGUUAGCUUGAGGCUGCUCAAGUUAUAAAUUUCAGACUUAUGCUUACAACCUGAUUUCAAGCUGGAGUAACGUUCUAAAAGACUUAUUUUUGGGGUCAGCUAAAUAUAGCAGAUUAUGCAGCAUGCUCCUGACAUUUGUCCUUUGCAAGGAAACAUCUUGACAGAGAUUUGGGGUAUAUCUACUUAAGUAGAUUCUGUAUCAGUGGCACAUAUGUGAAGUACAUAGCAUCUUCCUUGUCCAAGUGUCAGGACAAUUGACAUUUUCAGAAAUGUGGCUAAAAUGAAUAUCAGUUUAUGGGUCAUAUUUUAUUGGAUGCAUAAACUGAUAAUGCUUGAACAUUAUUCACUCAGAACAGAGCAUGUAUAUACAGUACACCAUUAAUACGGAAGCAAAUGCAUAGCAGUGUGCAACAGGGAUUUAAAUAUAAUGCAUGUUUCUUCAAAUCACAGAACAUGGGAGAAACUACAGUUAGCUCUACCUCUGCAGGCCCAUGUUGCAUUAUUCAAUAUAGUGGAAAUUAACAAUUUUGCAUGAAUUGAUUAUUCUUCAUUGAACUGCAAUCGAUAGUCCAUUUUCCUCUGUAAGCUAACAUUAUUUAACAAAAAAGUGAAAAUUUUAAAAGAAUAAAAAAUAAACAAAGUAAGAUAACGUUAUGUAUGUAGUUUAUUUUCACACUUUAAAGUAAUGUUUCUUUUCAUUUUCAGUUUAUAUAGUCACAGCAGUACAUAAUUUAAAAGAUUUUUUAAAAAAUCUGAUUUUUAUGCAUCCCCAGCAGCCUCUUUAUGAAGCUUCUCCAUUUUGAUACAGAGGACAAUUUUCACACUCUCAGCCAUGAUUUACUCCAAAAAAUCUGGCUCAUUUUCAACACUGAAGCAAAUAAAUUGCAUUAUAUUUGUUUUUACAGCUCUGCUGGAGCUAAUAAAAAAAAAAAAACAACCUCCCCCUUUCCUCCCCUGCAAUUUAAUUAAAGUAUGUUCUGGACUUGUCAAGACUAAUACUUCAAGUCUCUCAUGGUGGCCUUAGUAAUAUUUAAUCCCUGCUGUCUUUUCAAAACAAACACUGGAGAUCUGACAGCCAGAGGUUCAGUAGGUUAAAUGCUAAUCGCUUUAGACUGCGACAGACUAUGAAUGGAAGAUACCUCACAGGAGAUUCAGCUUCUGUCAUCCAGCACAUUACUCGUUACUAUUGUUUCAUCCAAUCCAUUAUUAGAAGCAGCAUGUUGCUCUGGCAGAAGUGGACGGCACUUUCAAACUGCGUAAUAAUCAGAAGUGGAGCGAGUGAGCUUCCGUUUCUGAAGCACCUUCCAUAAUCAGCCAUCAUCUCCUGGAAGGAGAAAGGUGUGACCUCUUACUAUCCCCAACUUCAAACUCUUUGCUUGAUCACAAAAAGAGCACGUCGCAACAAUCAGUGUCUGACGUGCCCACCUAUUCCAUCCUGGAUUUAUUUAUAUCCCCCCCGCCCCCCACCAUGACAAUGAUUAUGCAUGGCCUAGAGGUAGACACGCUCUUAUGAUGAAAGUUGAUGAGGUUUGUUAUUUGUUACGUUGAGAUGUGAAGCUUCCCGCCUGCAGGACCCGAUCAAAGCCGAGGCCUGUAAGACCAAUUAGAGUAUCCAGUAAAAACACUGAGCGGAGAUCAAAGAGGAAGCUUCCUUACACGACAGCCAAAGGGAUAAAAAAAAUAAAAUAACAGGAUCCCAUUAAGAGUAUGAGCACAUCCACUAAGAGAUCCAUUAUUUGUAUUGCUAGAUGCUCCUGGUUAGGGGCAGGACUGCAUUUUCCUUAUGUUUUGUUUUUUUUUUCUACAAAAAUGUAAAAUGGCUUUUUAUUGUUAAUAUUUCUAUACAAUACGUUGUUGCACAGGGAUAGGGAGCAACACACCCACCGCUGACAGCACUCUCUUUAAAAGAUCCUGCAGAUCCAGCCAAACAACUGUGCUAUUGUUAUUACACCACAUUUAGUCCAGGCACACAUCCGUUGAUGGAUAGAAAAAGGUUGUUGUACUGUGGGAGAGCACAAUGGCGGAUGAGACCAAAACACACACACAAAAAAAGAGCAGAAUGGAUUAGGGUGAGAUGUUCUGCCUUGAAGCAAACAAAACACACCAGUCAAUUACAUCAGGUGGGAACAAAAGAGAAAUGGAAAAAUGAUCAUAUGGGACUCAUUUUGUUCAGACCUUUUUGGCUUCUUCCCUCCCCCCAUUUGUAUGGAGUAUAGAAGUUAUGAUACAGCACAGCGACUCUAAUUUUGGAAAGGAUUCUCUUUAGUUUGACAGUUAAGACCCAAAUUAUUCAGACCUCUGGUGGAAUUAGAUCGAGCAAGCUGGUUUCUGAUUGAAAAUGGCACAAGCAACUCCAAAAACACAAGACAAUGUGCAUGUCGUAAAUUACUUGUCCAUUUUCUUUUUUGUACAUUUGAAUAAAAAAAAAAAAAUCAAUGCCCAAAAUUAUUUGUCCCUUCUCAGUAAUCAGUGGAAAAAGGUGUUGUUGGUUAUUACACUAACCAAAUUGUUCUGAAAAAUUAUGUUAAGCUUUUCACAAGUCUUCACUGUUAUCUUCGGUCCUCCCUAACCUUAAACAAUGGGAUUAUGAAUUUUUGACCUGAGUCAAAAGGUAUUUAUUUUUAUUCAUAAAAAAAAUUUAUGUUUGAUGUGUGGCGACUUCCACUUAUUUCAAUCCUGUUUGGUAUGGCAAAGUUGUAUGGAAAAAAAUAAACAUGGCAGUUAGAAAAUAAGACACACAGAUGGUAAUUACUAUAAUAGCUGCAUCUCUCUCUGAUGCAGCUCAGUGAUGCUUUAAAACUAACAUCUGGCUCCAUCUUUAAGUUGUACACAUGAGUGACAGAAAGAGAAAGUAAGACAGCCAAGACAGAGUAUUUACAGAAAUUGAGUACGGGUCAAAAUCUACAAUAAAAAAGUUCAAGUACAGAAUUAACCGACCUCAGCAGAAAGCAUUUGUCCUUCAUCAGGGGCCUCAUUUAAAAAAAUUUGACACAGCUAGAAGAUUUUACCUAUGGGAGACUCAAAGAAGGAAAUUUAAACUUAUUGGGCCUGACCUGAUGUAUUCUUUCACUAUAAGGUGUGUUUUUAUAAAUCUGGAUUUUUGACUUUGGGGCAUAUGUACAGUUUUAAUGUAGAUCCAACACAAUGUUUUCUAAAUGAGAACCCUGGUGUGUAAUGUAGGAGGAUACAGGGACUGCUGCAGAAACACAAGCACUGGAUAAACAGAUUCAUUUGUUUUAGAAGAAAACGUUAUGUUGUUAUGUAGCCAAAAUUAAAAUGCACAUUGUAAUUCAGGUUUCCCUGGUGCAGUUCUGUUUAUUCUGAAAAGAAAAAAAAAGUUUUUAUGAGUGAACUAUUCUGUUAUGUUGACAUAACAAUUGUAUUUUUAUGGUGAUUUCUCUUUGAACUCAAAAGUUAGAUUCUCAAAAUACAACAAACCCUUGAGAUCCAAACUCCUGCUGGCAAAGUUGGAACUCUGAGUAUUUUUCUUAUUACCACCCCGACCAAACUUUCCUUAGCAGUAAGCAGUUAAAAACAAGUUAAAAUGAAAAGACACCAAUAGUGCCAGGAGAAGCUACAUCUGGUGUGAAAGUCAUAUGCUGAAACAACGUUACCUUUGCAUUUAUUCUUUCAAAAGCCAUGAUUUAAGUCUCUUGUAGGAAAACAUUGAGGUGCAUCACAAGAUAAGAGUAAGACCAGAUUCUUGGCUUCUUGUCUAUUCUGCUAUCCGCUCAAUCACAAAGCCUGCGUGACGUAAGGUUUGUCAUCUAUACCCACCCACUACAGUCCUCUGAGAAUCUAAGGGGACGUCUGCUUUCAACCCAGAUUGCAGCACAUUAUCGCCCCCCUAAGUGGCUGUGAUUGUGGUGGGGUUAUCAGGCUGAGCCAUAACGUAACAAUAAGGGAACUGUUUGUCCGUGAGGUGUAAGCUCUAACAAUCACUGACACAAAGAGGCGUGUCAGGGUAAGGUGCAGGCUGUAUGCCUUUCUUUCACUGGAAGAAAAUGACAGCAUCGUGAAGAUUUUUGUUUUCCUUUUCAGAAGGCUUUCUGUUCUAAAAUUACAAAUUUUUCAAUUGCUUAUGCAGAGAAGAUUGAAGGUUUGCUCGCUUAAGAAGGCUAAAAUAAUCAUCUCUGUAUCAUGUCUGUUUUGUUGGGGGAGUACUUAAGACAUAAAAUGGGAAACAAUUUCACUAAUCUUCAAAUUGCAGCUACAAGUUUAAAGUAAACCCUUUUGCUACACUCGUGUAGAUUAUACAGUCACAGCUCUGAGGCAUAAUUUGUCAUUUUUUUUUGUAUACGGAGCGCAAACCAGAUCCCUUUUUAUUCAAACCUCUAAUUAACUGAGCCGAAUUACAAAGAAUCACUUUUUUUUUUUUUUUUUGAUGAGCGCUUUGGUACUGAACAGAUUAAUUACUUCAGUGCCCUAUAUACAUUCAGUGCUACAUUUUUAGAGUAUGUGCACUGUGACUCAACUUGUCUACCAUUUAACGCCUUCAUUUCAGUGUUUCCUCCUUCCAUUGUUUCAAAAUUAAACGCAAGACAGAAAUAUUUAGCAGCUCCAGUGAAACCAAAAAUAGGCUCUGUGUAUGUGACAUCAAACAGUGAGUGAGAGUCUGCUUCAAAUAAUGGCCACUCAGUGCGAAGAGCUCUGGCAGAGCCCUCGACACGUCCAGACUGCUAGCACAUCAACUGGCAUGAAACGCGUCCGCCACACUUAACGCACCGCAGCCGCCGCAGUCAGGCCACUGCCAAUCAGCCUGAGAGGUCAGAGGAGCCCAUGAAAUGUGAACCUGCUCAAGUUUCACCCAUAGACAGUAAUUAAUAAUGAGCUCCCAAAGGAAAUGCAUUCCUCAAUCAGUUUGUGAUGGACUCGUCGUCAAAUGGCUGUGACCAAUCAUCCAAGGAGCAUAAUUACCAUCGAGGGAAAACAAGCACUCGUUUUGCUCGGAACAGAACAGAAACUCCUGGAAUUCAAAAGAGAAGCAUCUGUUAGAUCUGAAGUUUACACAUUAUUCUGUGUCUCAUGAUCUGAGAGGAGUCAGAUUGUUUAAAGGUGGAGAGAUUAAUUAGGCCUUCAGGUAGCACUGACCAAGGGCGUAGGAACAAGUUUAUCAUUGGGGGGGGGGACACAUAUCGGAAACYUGAAAGAUCCGUAAAUAGCUUGAGCAAAAAUGUCAAACAAUGGUGUCAUCAACGUGUUACUCUAAUCUGACCCCUU